rnacentral:rRNA from 1 species
GACGAACGCUGGCGGCGUGCUUAACACAUGCAAGUCGAACGGAAAGGCCCUGCUUUUGUGGGGUGCUCGAGUGGCGAACGGGUGAGUAACACGUGAGUAACCUGCCCUUGACUUUGGGAUAACUUCAGGAAACUGGGGCUAAUACCGGAUAGGAGCUCCUGCUGCAUGGUGGGGGUUGGAAAGUUUCGGCGGUUGGGGAUGGACUCGCGGCUUAUCAGCUUGUUGGUGGGGUAGUGGCUUACCAAGGCUUUGACGGGUAGCCGGGCUGAGAGGGUGACCGGACACAUUGGGAUUGAGAUGCGGCCCAGACUACUCCGGGAGGCAGCAGUGGGGAAUAGUGCACAAUGGGCGGAAGCCUGAUGCAGCAACGCCGCGUGCGGGAUGACGGCCUUCGGGUUGUAAACCGCUUUCGCCUGUGACGAAGCGUGAGUGGCGGUAAUGGGUAAAGAAGCACCGGCUAACUCCGUG